rnacentral:rRNA from 1 species
AGAGUUUGAUCAUGGCUACAGAACGACGCUGGCGGCAGGCUUAACACAUGCAAGUCGAACGGUUGUAGCAAUACAGCAGUGGCAGACGGGUGAGUAACACGUGGGAACCUUCCUAGGGGUACGGAACAACUCAGGGAAACUUGAGCUAAUACCGUAUACGUCCGUGAGGAGAAAGAUCUAUCGCCCUUAGACGGGCCCGCGUCGGAUUAGCUAGUUGGUGGGGUAACGGCCUACCAAGGCGACGAUCCGUAGCUGAUCUUAGAGGAUGAUCAGCCACACUGGGACUGAGACACGGCCCAGACUCCUACGGGAGGCAGCAGUGGGGAAUCUUGGACAAUGGGCGCAAGCCUGAUCCAGCCAUGCCGCGUGAGUGAAGAAGGUCUUCGGAUUGUAAAGCUCUUUUGCCAGGGACGAUAAUGACGGUACCUGGAGAAUAAGCCCCGGCAAACUUCGUG